rnacentral:snRNA from 1 species
GGUUGUGAGGGCAAUCUAGCUGUGACAUCUGUCACCCCAUUGAUCGCCAGAGUUGAUUUGGCUGAUCUAGCUGGCUAAAGGGGUGUCUCUUUCCUCCCUCAUCACUCCAUGUAUAUUCCUCCUGAAGCUGCACACUACGUGGAAGAUAAUGACCAGCCAAGAUAGAAAUGUACUGUUCUUUGGUCAAGGGUAUACGAUAGCUGCAUUCCCCUGCUAGAAGCUUCAAACACGUUUAAGGUCCAUUUGUAGGUGACUUAGGAUGGUCAAGCUUCCAAGACUCCAGACACAUUCAAGUAAGGCNCUACAUGUGGCAGUUUGCCAUUCUUU